GUGAAAUGGCCAGAGAUUAGGACUCAGCAACCGUCACUAUGAAAACACUAUUAAAACCAGAGCUGGUUAUGUUAACAGUUUGGUUAGGGCAAAGUUGUAAUAAGCAUCCUGGCAAUAAAUUCAUUUGUUAAUUCCAGGAGAACUUUGGGAUCAGCUGUCUGUGCCAGGCAUUGGGCCCACAUGCUUCAUCCUUAUGGGCUCUCCAGUGGUCCACUUGCAGGAUCCACCCACUCCCCAGGCUGAACCCCUGUGAGAUGGAACCUCCUAGUGACUUGGCUCAUGGUCAUGAGACAUGACCACAGAGUUAGAUUUACUGUGAACAGGCUCCUGGGCUCAGUGUCCAAGGGCCUGUGCUGGUCGCCCUCGUCUGCCCCUUUCCAGCUGCGCGGCUUGAGGCCUCUCUGAGCCUCCAUUUCAACGGAGAACAUUCAUCCAGUCCAUGUCGUAGGCUGGUUGCGAGGCACACACAAGAUAAAAUGUGAAAUCUUUGAAACCCAUCAGAUGCCCGGUAAAAGCGCGUUUUUAGAGUAGGUGAAGGGCACAGGUUUUUGGAGUCAGACAACCAGCGUUCACCGGCGGGAAGAUCGUUGACAAGAAACUUCCCGGGUCUGAGCCUCAGUUUCCUUCUACGUAAUGGAGGCGGCAGCACCUUCACAAGUCUGCGGGGAGGUGCGGCUGAGACGGUGCACACACAGCAGCCCGCGGGGAGUGCGCGAUCGGUAGCAAAUUCUCCCGGCAGCGCCAUCUCCCUGAGUCAUGCAGGGCCCGCCGGGACGCGGCUGCAGGAAACCGGGCGGGACAGCGCCGCCUCCCACACGGCCCGCGGGGGCGCCCGGCACCGCCCGCCGAGCAAGGCGCCGCCGCAGCCCAGGAACAAAGGAAGAAUGGAGCUUCCUAAAUCUUAGGAUCUACAAUUAUGCCACCGGAUCUAAAGGGAAAGGGGAAAAUGAAGGCGCAAGUCGCUGUUUCUGUUUAUUCAGAUUCUUCGGAGGACACUGGCUUCACACAAGGAAGCACCCUGAGAAUCACAGUGAGCCACGGUGUGGACUAAGACUCAGGGCCCAGGGCUCAGAGCUUUCAGUGUGUGGCCUGGGGAAAGCUGCAGCACUUCUCUGA
rnacentral:lncRNA from 1 species